CUCCAUUCAUCUCCUAUCACCUCCUCCCAAUGCCUUUCGUCGAGUCAACAUUAGUUUCAUCCUCCUUUUAUUUCAAACCUCCUUCCCUCCAUGAUCCCAUCAUUCUCAAAGAAGAGAGAUCGGAGGAAGAAGACAGAGAAAUAUGAUGGGAAAAGAAGAAAUAAUGCCAUGUAAGCACCACAUUAAUAUUUUUUUAAAUUUUAAUAUUAUAUAAGCGCUGCAUGAGUACUGGAUGUUGCCAACAUUGAAUUUU
rnacentral:lncRNA from 1 species